rnacentral:rRNA from 1 species
CUUACCGGCCACACCGCCUGGUAUACGCUUGAUCUCGGAAGAUAAGGUAGGUUGGGCCUGGUUAGUACUUGGAUGGGAGACCGCCUGGGAAUACCAGGUGCUGUAAGC